CAAUAGCGUAUAUUUAAGUUGCUGCAGUUAAAAAGCUCGUAGUUGGAUUUCGGGUGGGAAUGGCCGGUCCGCCGUUUCGGUGUGCACUUGCUACGCCCACCUUGCUGCCGGGGACGUGCUCUUGAGUUCACGCUCGGGACACGGAGUCGGCGAGGUUACUUUGAGUAAAUUAGAGUGUUCAAAGCAGGCCUACGCUCUGAAUACAUUAGCAUGGAAUAACACGAUAGGACUCUGGCCUAUCUUGUUUGUCUGUAGGACCGGAGUAAUGAUUAAGAGGGACAGUCGGGGGCAUUCGUAUUUCAUUGUCAGAGGUGAAAUUCUUGGAUUUAUGAAAGACGAACUACUGCGAAAGCAUUUGCCAAGGAUGUUUUCAUUAA
rnacentral:rRNA from 1 species